rnacentral:snoRNA from 1 species
UUUUAUGAUGAAUAAGCGCUUGCGCGAUAAUCCCAGCUCGUUGAAUCCCUCAUUUUUAUAUCACGUUAGAGGGCAUCUUGAAAUUAAAGUACUGCACUGAAAA